rnacentral:pre_miRNA from 1 species
AAAAAAACAAACCCUGGGUUUCCGUGUCCAACGUUUGACUGUCCGUCUUAUAUAAUUUUUUUAUAAUUAGUAUUUUUACUGUUAGAUAAUAAAACAUGAUUAAUAUUUUAUAUGUGACUUGUCUUUUUAAUUUUUUUUCAUAAUUUUUUAAAUAAGACGGACGGUCAAACGUUAGAUACGGAAACCAGAGUUUAUU